AUGCUGUUUUUCUUUAGGUCUCAGAGUCCUUCAUCAACUAGAGCAGAAGAAGAUGAAGAGCAGGAUCAUCUCCUGGGCGUGGUGCAGUCUCUGCCUCCGGCGAUGCUCAUCUCACCUACCAAUGAGAACAUCAUUUUGACAGUGUCACCUCUGGUAUCUCCUCAUGUGUAUGGUAACGUGAUUUCGAUCUGUACUCAUCGUGGGUUUGCUCUGCAAGGAAUCAGGCAACUGCAGCUUUCACACAAGGAAGCCAUUGCACUGAGCAUGACAGCAAGUCAGAUUGCUGUAUUUUGCCCUGGCAAGAUUUCUGGUUUACCUGAGAACAGCUCUGCAGGAGGAGAGCUUUCUGCUGCACCACGCAUGCACUCCCUUGUCCUGUUGCUGAGAAAGGAGGAUGCUGGUCGUCAUGUUCUUGCAUUGCUGAAAGGACUGAUGAAUGAACUGGCAAAGCAAGGCCUGCUUGGUAGCAGACAGAGCAGCCUGCCUGCCACAGCCAGGCUGGAUCCCUUCAUGUGCUUCCAUGUGGCUUCUUACACGGAGAACUUGAAGGAGAUGCUGGGAGGAAACUUCAGUGCAGUUCCAGACCCGUGUAACAUUCCUCUGGAUUUCUUCUGCGAUCGAAUAUUUGCUUCUGAUCCUGAAAUGGAGCAAGUGGUCCUGCUGACACUGGUUGGGAUGGAUGCUAUCAGCAGUGCUGGGGAGCUGCUUGGCCAGAUCCUUCCUGGGAGCGUUAAUCAGGCUCAGAAUGCAGAAGGACCUGAUUCAGGGUUUGAGCUGCUGGGUCUCAAGUGGUUGCCCCAUCUCACUCGACGUCAGGCAAAAGAAAUAACCCCUUUUGAGGUUGGAGAUGCUUCCUGGCAAAGAAGCCUUGUUACACUGAUGUCUAAUCCAGUUCUUGUGUGUGCGUUACGGCGGAUCAAUGCCUUCCAAGUUCUUGAAGAUGCAUUAAAGAGGCUAACACAGUGCAGGGAGGAGCUAAGCAAAAGUGAUGGUGCUCUGCAGAGAGUAAUGGCCAUGACCCCAGAGGUAACAUUCAGACAAGCCAUCCUUUUCUUCACAGAGAAGGAUCUUGUAGCUGAUCCAGAACACCGCCCAGCUGCCAAAUACCUGCCACCGCCUGGCAAGGGAUCCACAGCCAGAGUGGAAGAGACCCAGAGGUGCCACGCAGAAUCACUCUUUGCCUACUUGCAUGCAGGAGCCCAGAUCCUCUGCACGGUGCUGCUGAUCAAACCUGGUGCCUGGAGCCAACAUCUUGUGAGGAUCCUCCAAAAGCUCCACCUAGAGAAAUUCACAGUGGUUGGGAUGAAACACGUGCACCUGGAGCCAGGCAUCGCCUUAGGACUCCUUCCUUCUGAAGCAAAGCAGGAUCCUGCUGUUCUAGAAGCUCACUGCACCUACCUUACCUCAGGCACUUCUCUCGUGUUGUGUCUUCAGAGACCAAAUGCUGUGAAGAAGUUGUUAGACAUGCUGGGGCCGGAGGACCCUAAAGUAGCCCAAGCAUUGAAUCCAUGCCUCUGGAGGGCUCAGUAUGGCAUCAGCACUGUCCAAAAUGGAUUUUAUGGCUCCAACUCCUACCAAAUGUCCAUCCGGGACAUGAAGCUGUUCUUCCCAGAAGGUCUGUGCUGCUCCAAGUGCCCGAUGCUGGAGGAGGAGGAGAUCCAUAACCUGGAACGUGACCCCACAGUCAGCGUGGAAAUCAACAAGCAGCACAAAAUCAUAAGGCGUGAGGCAGGAGGGCAACUCCAUUUACUGGGCUCUGGGCAACCACAUGAUCUUGAUCGGCCAGUGCUCAGCAACCUCUGCCAAACCACUUGUCUCAUCCUGCCGGCCAUAAUCCUCCGGGGUUCCGACCCACCUUAUGUUGAGCUGCUCGAUCAGCUCAUUGGCAAAGGUUUCACGGUGACUGGAGUUCGCCUCACUGUGCUGGAUGCACCUCAGGCUCAUUGCAUCUCCAAGAUACUGAGCGGGGCCAAGUGUGGUGUGGAAGCAAAGUGCUCCCUCUUGAAGGACGGUCUGUGCCUGGUGGUAGCGGCAGAGCGAGACAACGCGGUCAUUGGCUUCAACUCCCUGUUGGACGGUGUGUGCUGGCAGAAGCAGUCGGAGCUGGACGUGGCGCAACAUCUCCUCUAUCCCCAGAAUGAGAAGCAGGCUGAAGAGCUGCUCUGUUUUCUUUUUGACUCCCUGACAUCUGACAGCAUCUGCCGCAUUGAAUCCCAGAGCUGUUAGCUGCUGCUCACAGACCCCAUGUAGCCCAUGGGCCAGUGCCAUUGCAAGGGGUAUCUGUGCAGGUGGGCACAGAGCUGCCCCCAGCCCCCAGGAGCACCAGCAUCCAUUUGUCAUUAUAAUAAAUUCUGAAGCAUCCUGUUGGAUGAAUGAGCG
ensembl:lncRNA